rnacentral:misc_RNA from 1 species
UAGAGUUUUUUAAACUCCCAACCCAUGUGAACUUACCAUUGUUGCCUCGGCAGAAGCUACCUGGUUACCUUACCUUGGAACGGCCUACCCUGUAGCGCCUUACCCUGGAACGGCCUACCCUGUAGCCUGCCGAUGGACUACUAAACUCUUGUUAUUAUAUGGAAAUCUGAGCGUCUUAUUAAAUAAGUCA